rnacentral:lncRNA from 1 species
AGAGUGUCUUGAUUUAGAGGUAGCAGGGGUGUGAUGGCUGCAGUCCCACUGAGGUCAAGGGUCAGGCCAUCAAUAGGGUGGUUAGAGUGGCUUAGAAGAGGCUCAUGUUGGUGUGUGAUAUCACUGAUCAAGAGGCUCCUGGACCCCAGUUAGACUGGACAAAGGGGCAGACUAGGAGGUUGGGGGGUGCUCUUCUUCAAAGAUCCUGGAAGGAUCUUAGACUUUGCAUGUUCUCAGAGGCCAUUAAGACAGCCCUUAGAGAUGUCUGAGGUUUUUUAUUUUCUCAUUUUAACAAAUGACAUUUCUUUGUUCUGUGUGUGUUGGGAGAACUCUACUGCAUGCCAUGGUGCUUGUGUGGGUUGCUUCUCCUUUCACCAGGCUGUUUCUGGUGAUCAGAGUCAGUCAGUCCUGGGGGACAGUUACUUUGUCUCAAUAAUUCAUCUUGCCAGCCUGCAGCUGAAGGUUCUGUUUGCUUCUUAGACAGGGUCUCACUUACUACGUAGCUCUGGCUGGGUCUGGUAGUUAGGUUGACCACCCUGGCUUAACUCUUAGAGAUCUGCCUAACUCUAACUGUGGAAUGCUGAGUUUAAGGGUGUGUGUCACCUCAUCUAAGUACUUUGUUAUUUUAAAGGAAGAAUAUGUAUUAUUAUGCACUCUUACACAUAAAAUGAAAAGAUUUUUAAAUAAUCCCUUUGUCAUCAAAUCUUUAAAUUCACCAUAAUUAUUGGUGAAAAUGUAUAGAUGAGCCAGACAUGGUGGUACACAUACUUAAUUCCAGUACAUAGGAUGCAGAGACAGACAGGAAUCUAUGAAUUUGAGGCCAACCUUGUCAAGUUAGUUUCAGGACAUCCAGUGGUGUGUAAAGACCUUGUUCCAUUCCCCCUCCCCACUGCUGGUGCUGCUGGAAAAAAAAAAACCUCCCCCAAAAGAAAGAAAACAUGGAAAAUUUUAUAAUAGUGUUGCUACCAAAAUAAGAUUUUUAAAAAAAUUUUUUUAUUACGUAUUUUCCUAAAUUACAUUUCCAAUGCUUUCCCAAAAGUCCCCCAUACCCUCCCCCCCCCACUCCCCUACCCACCCAUUCCCACUUUUUGGCCCUGGCGUUCCCCUGUACUGGGGCAUAUAAAGUUUGCAUGUCCAAUGGGCAUCUCUUUCCAGUGAUGGCCGACUAGGCCAUCUUUGAUACAUAUGCAGCUAGAGUCAAGAGCUCCAGGGUACUGGUUAGUUCAUAAUGUUUUUCCACCUAUAGGGUUGCAGAUCCCUUUAGCUCCUUGGGUACUUUCUCUAGCUCCUCCAUUGGGGGCCCUGUGAUCCAUCCAAUAGCUGACUGUGGGCAUCCACUUCUGUGUUUGCUAGGCCCCAGCAUAGCCUCACAAGACACAGCUAUAUCAGGGUUCUUUCAGCAAACUCUUGCUAGUGUAUGCAAUGGUAUAAGAUUCAUUUAAUGAGGUAGGAGUGGUUGCAAUCUUAUCACUGAGAUGUGCAGGCACCAUGGUGACGAGUUUAAGGUCAUCCUCUAUAAGGAAGUUAAAACUAGCCUGGGCUACUAGAAAUUCUGUUCCAAUAAACAAACCUACCUACCUAUUUAGCAGGUGUAGUGGCUUGUGCAUGUAACCCCUACCCUCAGGAAGCAGAGGCAGUCUGAUUGGUACAAGUUCAAAGCCAGACAAGGCUACAUAGCAAGACCUCAUCGUAACAAGAAAAGAAAAGACUAAGAUAACAAAAUUGCCAAUAAAUACUGUAUCCAAGAGUGGUACAUGGAGCCAUAUGGUGAUGGCAGUAUAUGCUUUUAAUCCCAGCACUCAGGAGGCAGAGGCAAGAGGAGCUCUGUGAGUUCAAGACUAGCCUGGUCUACAACACA